rnacentral:rRNA from 1 species
UACGUAGGUGGCAAGCGUUGUCCGGAUUUAUUGGGUUUAAAGGUGCGUAGGCGGUUCCUUAAGUCAGUGGUGAAAUACUUCAGCUCAACUGGAGAGGUGCCAUUGAUACUGGGGAACUUGAGUACUGAUGAGGUAGGCGGAAUGGACGGUGUAGCGGUGAAAUGCUUAGAUAUCGUCCAGAACACCGAUAGCGAAGGCAGCUUACUAAAGAGUAACUGACGCUGAGGCACGAAAAGUGUGGGGAUCAAACAGG